GGAGGGUUGGCAGAGUUUGGUUUAAUGCGGCAGUCUUGAAAACUGUUGUGGGUCACACCACCGGGGGUUCGAAUCCCUCACCCUCCGCCA
rnacentral:tRNA from 1 species